rnacentral:rRNA from 1 species
UACGUAGGUGGCAAGCGUUAUCCGGAAUUAUUGGGCGUAAAGCGCGCGCAGGCGGUUUUCUUAAGUCUGAUGUGAAAGCCCACGGCUCAACCGUGGAGGGUCAUUGGAAACUGGGGAACUUGAGUGCAGAAGAGAAAAGCGGAAUUCCACGUGUAGCGGUGAAAUGCGUAGAGAUGUGGAGGAACACCAGUGGCGAAGGCGGCUUUUUGGUCUGUAACUGACGCUGAGGCGCGAAAGCGUGGGGAGCAAACAGG